CGUAGGGCGCAAGCGUUGUCCGGAAUUAUUGGGCGUAAAGAGCUCGUAGGCGGCUUGUCACGUCGGGUGUGAAAGCCCGGGGCUUAACCCCGGGUCUGCAUUCGAUACGGGCUAGCUAGAGUGUGGUAGGGGAGAUCGGAGUUCCUGGUGUAGCGGUGAAAUGCGCAGAUAUCAGGAGGAACACCGGUGGCGAAGGCGGAUCUCUGGGCCAUUACUGACGCUGAGGAGCGAAAGCGUGGGGAGCGAACAGGAUUAGAUACCCUGGUAGUCCACGCCGUAAACGGUGGGAACUAGGUGUUGGCGACAUUCCACGUCGUCGGUGCCGCAGCUAACGCAUUAAGUUCCCCGCCUGGGGAGUACGGCCGCAAGGCUA
rnacentral:rRNA from 1 species